AUGAAGUCCAAUCCCCCUAUCCAGGCUGCCAUUGACCUCAUGGCAGGGGCUGCAUAGGCCCUGUCCCUUUGAUGUUAAGUGGUGGAGGGAGUUGGCGGGAUUUGCUCUGGCUUGCGGUAUAUCCAGUGGAUUGUAUCAAAUCCAGAAUUCAAGUUCUUUCCAUGUCUGGAAAACAGGCAGAAUUUAUCAGAACCUUUAUAAAUGUUGUGAAAAAUGAAGGAAUAAUGGCCUUAUAUUCUGGACUGAAACCUACAUGAUUCGAGCAUUCCCUGACAAUGGAGCACUCUUUUUGGCCUAUGAAUAUAGCAGGAAUUUGAUGAUGAGCCAGUUGGAAGCAU
rnacentral:lncRNA from 1 species